rnacentral:tRNA from 1 species
CCCUGGUGGCUCAGACGGUAAAGCAUCUGCCUGCAAUGCGGGAGGCCCGGGUUCAGUCCCCGGAUGAGGGA